CAGGAAUAAACACGUUUUUUCGAUUUGAAAAUUUUGGAUCUACAGAAUUUUUUAAAAAUUGUCCUAAUGUAGAAUACUAGAAUAAAACUAUUAAUAGAAUAAAAAUUGGGGAUCACUGACGUUGUUUUCGAAUUAAACUAGUUCAAAUGCAGAUUAGCAGCCAUUUUGAAACGUCAUUGUUGCCAUAGUGACCACGGUUACGAACUUUCCGUUAGAGUUUCUAAUUCUCAAAAUACUGUUCUAUACAAAACAUCUGGUUUCAUUCUUCUAUAAAAAUAUAAAUGUACAAAAUUUUUUGUCUGAAAUGUGCCCACUUUCAAUAACCACCUUUACAAAAUCGACUUGAAUUGUUACG